CUCUCUCUCUGCCUGCCUCUCUGCCUACCUGUGAUCUCUCUCUCUCUGUCAAAUAAAUAAAUAAAAUCUUUAAAAAAAAAAAAAGAGAGAGAUGGAGCAAAGGGGAGAACAGACUAGUUCAUGGUAUGUGAAAUGCAUGGUCAAGGAAUGCUUCUGUUGGACACCUUGCAUUAAUAACCUACUUACCCCCUUAGAAGACUGGAAGGGUGAUCAAGAUACUUGGCAGGCACCUCGAUCUACCAGGAGUUGGGUGUGGACGAGACCCCAGGAAAUACUGUAGCCCAGCCGCUCAGUUUCAAAAGGAAGAAAAAGAAAUGCACCACCUGGCCCCUAUUCCCUGGAGGAACUGGCUGCAGAACACGGGCUGUGUUGCUGGGCAUAGGCAUCCGGAUUCUCAACUACCAGAGACGGGAACUGACUUUGGCCCAUUGCGAGACCUGAAACACUGGGCUCGGUGCUACCCAGCUGCACCGCAAGCCACAGAAAAAGCCACAUGGCAAACUUGCAAAUUAUCACAGCAUCUCUGCAAAGUUACCCAUGCUGCUCUCCAGCACCCUGAGAAGCUCCCAGCCACUGGAAUGUGACCAACGGAGCUAAAAUGCUGCCCCAGGAACUCCGUCUUGCUAGAGACCCCAGCCUGCUGGAGAAAUUCCAUGGUCUUUGCUUUUCCACGUCACUAGCUCCUAAAUGGAGCUGUCCAUUGGCAGAGCCUAGAUCACAUGACUUGCCUUGAGGACCAUGACCCUGGGAAAUGACAGUGAGGUAUUUUGAGCUUUUAUAAGAGAAGGUAGAGAAUCAUUCAAAAUGAGAAGUGGGUGAGGAUUCUGGGCAAAAUAAAUGUCUAUUCCAGCUACGUAUAUAAAUGCCUGAUUUGUCUAUCUUCUUGAUAUGUUUGGUUGGUCCUUGACUUGCAUAUUUUUGCUGUGAGAUAUUCCCUUCCUGACCUGUCUUUUUUCAUGUGCCC
rnacentral:lncRNA from 1 species